AUUGAACGCUGGCGGCAUGCCUUACACAUGCAAGUCGAACGGCAGCACGGGAGCAAUCCUGGUGGCGAGUGGCGAACGGGUGAGUAAUAUAUCGGAACGUGCCCAGUCGUGGGGGAUAACGUAGCGAAAGCUACGCUAAUACCGCAUACGAUCUAUGGAUGAAAGCGGGGGAUCGCAAGACCUCGCGCGAUUGGAGCGGCCGAUAUCAGAUUAGGUAGUUGGUGAGGUAAAGGCUCACCAAGCCGACGAUCUGUAGCUGGUCUGAGAGGACGACCAGCCACACUGGGACUGAGACACGGCCCAGACUCCUACGGGAGGCAGCAGUGGGGGAAUUUUUGGACAAUGGGCGCAAGCCUGAUCCAGCAAUGCGCGUGCAGGAUGAAGG
rnacentral:rRNA from 1 species